rnacentral:rRNA from 1 species
UACAGAGGUGGCAAGCGUUGUUCGGAAUUACUGGGCGUAAAGGGCGCGUAGGCGGUUCGUUAAGUCCUGUGUGAAAUCCCCCGGCUCAACUGGGGAACUGCACAGGAAACUAGCGGGCUUGAGUUCGGGAGAGGGAAGCGGAAUUCCGGGUGUAGCGGUGAAAUGCGUAGAUAUCCGGAGGAACACCGGUGGCGAAGGCGAGUCCCUGGACAACACCUGACACUGAGGCACGAAAGCUAGGGGAGCAAACAGG